rnacentral:rRNA from 1 species
UAGGGAAUAUUGGGCAAUGGGCGCAAGCCUGACCCAGCGACGCCGCGUGGGGGAUGAAGGCCUUCGGGUUGUAAACCCCUGUGGCGAGGGACGAAUAAGGUGAGGAGGUAAUGCCUCACCGAUGACGGUACCUCGCUAGAAAGCCCCGGCUAACUACGUGCCAGCAGCCGCGGUAAUACGUAGGGGGCGAGCGUUACCCGGAAUCACUGGGCGUAAAGGGGGCGUAGGCGGUUUGGCAAGUCAAGUGUGAAAUUCCACGGCUCAACUGUGGAGCUGCGCUUGAAACUGCCAAACUUGAGGCCAGUAGAGGGAGACGGAAUUGCCGGUGUAGGGGUGAAAUCCGUAGAUAUCGGCAAGAACGCCGGUGGGGAAGCCGGUCUCCUGGGCUGAGCCUGACGCUGAGGCCCGAAAGCUAGGGGAGCGAACG